rnacentral:rRNA from 1 species
AUUGAACGCUGGCGGCAGGCCUAAUACAUGCAAGUCGAGCGAGCGGCGGACGGGUGAGUAAUGUAUGGGGACUGCCCGAUUGGGGGGGAUAACUACUGGAAACGGUGGCUAAUACCGCCUACCGUCGGAUCAACCAUAUGGGAUUAGCUGGUAGGUAGGGUAAUGGCUUACCUGGUCGACAAUCCCUCGCUGGUCUGCAAGGAUGAUCAGCCACACUGGAACUGAGACACGGCCCAGACUCCGGCGGAGGCAGCAGUGGGGAAUAUUGCAAAAUGGGCGCAAGCCUGAUGCAGCCAUGCGGCGUGGAUGAAGAAGGCCCUAGGGUUGUAAAGUACUGUCAGUCGGGAGGCGUUACCGACAGAAGAAGCACCGGCUAACUCCGUGCCAGCCGCCGCGGUAAUUC